GAUGAACGCUGGCGGCGUGCCUAAUACAUGCAAGUCGAGCGAACGGACGAGAAGCUUGCUUCUCUGAUGUUAGCGGCGGACGGGUGAGUAACACGUGGAUAACCUACCUAUAAGACUGGGAUAACUUCGGGAAACCGUAGCUAAUACCGGAUAAUAUUUUGAACCGCAUGGUUCAAAAGUGAAAGACGGUCUUGCUGUCACUUAUAGAUGGAUCCGCGCUGCAUUAGCUAGUUGGUAAGGUAACGGCUUACCAAGGCAACGAUGCAUAGCCGACCUGAGAGGGUGAUCGGCCACACUGGAACUGAGACACGGUCCAGACUCCUACGGGAGGCAGCAGUAGGGAAUCUUCCGCAAUGGGCGAAAGCCUGACGGAGCAACGCCGCGUGAGUGAUGAAGGUCUUCGGAUCGUAAAACUCUGUUAUUAGGGAAGAAAAUAUGUGUAAUUAACUGCGCACAUCUUGACGGUACCUAAUCAGAAAGCAACGGCUAACUACGUG
rnacentral:rRNA from 1 species